UACGUAGGGCGCAAGCGUUGUCCGGAAUUAUUGGGCGUAAAGAGCUCGUAGGCGGCUUGUCACGUCGAUUGUGAAAGCCCGAGGCUUAACCUCGGGUCUGCAGUCGAUACGGGCUAGCUAGAGUGUGGUAGGGGAGAUCGAAUUCCUGGUGUAGCGGUGAAAUGCGCAGAUAUCAGGAGGAACACCGGUGGCGAAGGCGGAUCUCUGGGCCAUUACUGACGCUGAGGAGCGAAAGCGUGGGGGAGCGAACAGG
rnacentral:rRNA from 1 species